ensembl:lncRNA
CACGCGCCUGUUUUUAUGAAGAUCAUUAUUGGUAUUAUUAUUUACUGACUGUUGUUGUUGUUGUUGUUGCGAGCUCACAAGUUGCGCGGCACUCACCCUCCGUGCAGACCAGGAGCGUCCAGGCUAUCCAGAGGUCCGAGUUAUGGAACUUCACCAUGGCUCCUUCAACCGGUCCUCCGCUUCGGCCCGACGGAACCACGAUCUCAGCUCGGCUCACGGUUCCCCGGGCGACAAGUAACAGGUCCUCCCGGUGCCGGGAGACAUGGGCGCAGCCCGCCGCGGGGUCUCUUUACGCGCCGCGCGCCGGCGACGCUUCCCGAAAGACGGGGUGAAACGUUCCGAGUGAGGGGUGGAGUGAAACCGGAGGGAUCGAUUAUACUCAGCCAGGGAUCAGCCAGAGGUGGUGCGCCUGUGCGGCAUGACCGCGCUCACCAGCGGAUGAUUAAGACGGACCUGACUGUUGCUAGGAGACCGCUGACGCCAGACGUGCACGAGAGAAAGAGAGAGAGAGAGAGAGAGAGCACAAGGGGGGAGGAGGGGGGGGGGAGACAUUCAUGCCCCCCUGCGGUGCGACUCCACAACGACCGACGGAUUCGAAUUAUUUAUAGGGACGUGGUUUACGCAGAUACGUGGAUACAUUUGAACAUUGGGCUGCAAUAGUGAAUCAAUGGAAUAAUAGAAUUAGACACAAGGCUGCAGAGUGCUGCUCUGCGCAGAAUUGCAAAAAAAAAAGUAUUUUCUGCCUUCAUACUGGACUUUGAUGAUCAGUCCUUUGCAUAAUCUGCAGUGUGCACAUCAGGGCGGUAACGCUUUGUAACUGUGCCCCUUUUAUCUCAAUGAAUGAAGUCAUUGCAUGUGAUUGUGUAGCAUGUACUACACAUUUUUGCCGCAUAGGUGAUAGUUGAGAAAACCAUCUAGAGAUCAAAAGGUACAGAUUUAUCUUCCUCCAACCUGUUUUUUCAGACAAAGCGAAAUGAAAAGACGCGAUUGGGGCCGUGCCCCAAAUCCCUGCCUUCAUCGUUUGGCCCUGCAGAUGUUAACAGAUGUUAAUAAUUGUUUGGCCUUAAAUUGAGCUGAAGUUGGAUGAUCUUAAGGCUGCUUGCUUUUGUUGGAUUUUAUAGAAUAUGUUGCCUUUGUUUCUCGUUAUUUUUGGUUGAACAAAACGCUGGCUUUCCAAAUGUCUGUUUCAUUUGGCUUUUACGUUCCACCUUCUCAUUAAAGCUGUAAUAAAAAAAUAUUUGUAUUUUAUACAUGCUGCUUUUUUAGAUAUUCUCCCGAUUAAUCGUUUUGUUUAUAAAACAAACAUUCUCAAAAAGCCCAUCAAAACAUUCAGCACCAAAAGCAACAGCUUUAUUUGACAUGUUGUCCAAAACCCAAAUAAAUCAAUUUCCUGUCCCACCCGCCUGGCAGCUGCGCUGAGGGCCGGAGAGGGCUGCUGAUGGUGCUGCUGAUGGUGCCAUGUGGGCGGGCACAGUGGCGUCCGUCUCCAUGGCAGACUUCGGCCUUUGGAGGGAAAUGUGCUCACCCUCUCGGAUGGAGGACGUCUGUCUGGGACUUUGGUGUCUUCAGCGUUUAACUUAGUGUUCUAAGUCGAGUUAACGUCUGAAUGAACGAUGGCCUUUGUGUUUGUACGAAGAGUGAAAAAUGUGUCCUUCCGAAAAUAGACACUUUGAAUCUCAUAAAUGUAAGAAAACACUGUUGUAAAUCAUCCACUAAUGUCUCCCUUCAAUAUUCCCUAAAAUGAAAUAAAGGUUGAAACAUGAUGGAUGGGCUAACUUGGGUUUCCCCUCAGCAAGCAGUCCAAGAAAGAUGCACGCUUGAUUUAUUAUUGAUUCCUUUCUGGAACUGCGUCUUUUUUUUUUCUGCACCCCCAUAAAAGAUUCAAAAGAGCAGAAAGAGAUCUUCAGUGCUAAAUGCUGUUAUUCUCUUCACCUGUCCGUCCUGGCCGGAGCUCAUUGCUCUCAGGUACCCGGGUUAUGCUUUGUUUGGACACUAAAACCACGUUUAUGCUGUAUUUACUCGAGCACUGCACUUUAAACUGCUUAUACCUCCAUUGAUAAUAACUUCAGAGAGAAAUAUUGAACUGUCACUGCUCUUUUCAUACAAUGCAAAUGUAUUUACUCCUUCAACCUGAGGCAAUAAAGUGUAUCAACACUUCAAAGGGGCAGUCUUCAUUAUCAGAAGUCUAUUUAACUUGAUACUUUAAGUUGAGUUGAAUUGAAGAGCUAUUUAAAAGAACUGCAGUGAACUCAAUUCUUGGAUAUGAAAAAUGAUUGUUCAAACUGAUUAAAAAACAUUCAAAUUGCAAAAUAA